rnacentral:misc_RNA from 1 species
GAUGAAGAACGUAGUGAAAUGCGAUAAGUAGUGUGAAUUGCAGAAUUCCGUGAAUCAUCGAAUCUUUGAACGCACAUUGCGCCUUCUGGUAUUCCGGAAGGCAUGCCUGUUCGAGAGUCAUUAACAACCGUUUCGAUCCCUUUCUUUCAGAAAUUACAAAGAGGAAAAGGGUUUGGUUAUGGUGGAGGAGGGAAAGGGAGCGUUUAGCCUGUAAAAAAAGAGGCUGUGUUCCGCAUCCCCCCCAAAAUUGUACAGGCGGUCGUGUGCGCCCACGCAUCGAGGUGUUGUAAAAGCUGCCACGGCACUUUUCACCUGUGCAGUGCGAGAUUGGCCAGCCGGUUUAAAAACCCCUCCAAACAAUCAAAGGUUGACCUCGGAUCAGGUAGGGAUACCCGCUGAACUUAAGCAUAUCAAUAAGCGGAGGA